GUAAUGGUGUCUUUAGACACCACCUUUUUUUAUUUGAAUUUAUUC
rfam:Picea glauca, whole genome shotgun sequence.